rnacentral:rRNA from 1 species
UUCAGUGGGGGGACAACUCGGGGAAACUACGAGCUAAUACCGCAUAAUACCUAAGGGUCAAAGUGGGGGGAUCUUCGGACCUUCACGCCGGAAGAGGAGCCUGCGUUGGAUUAGCUAGUUGGUGAGGUAAAGGCUCACCAAGGCUACGAUCUAUAGCUGGUCUGAGAGGACGAUCAGCCACACUGGAACUGAGACACGGUCCAG